rnacentral:rRNA from 1 species
AUUGAACGCUGGCGGCAUGCUUUACACAUGCAAGUCGAACGGUAACAGGCCGCAAGGUGCUGACGAGUGGCGAACGGGUGAGUAAUGCAUCGGAACGUGCCCAGUCGUGGGGGAUAACGCAGCGAAAGCUGCGCUAAUACCGCAUACGAUCUCUGGAUGAAAGCGGGGGACCGAAAGGCCUCGCGCGAUUGGAGCGGCCGAUGUCAGAUUAGGUAGUUGGUGGGGUAAAGGCCCACCAAGCCAACGAUCUGUAGCUGGUCUGAGAGGACGACCAGCCACACUGGAGCUGAGACACGUACCAGACUCCUACGGGAGGCAGCAGUGGGGAAUUUUGGACAAUGGGCGCAAGCCUGAUCCAGCAAUGCCGCGUGCAGGAAGAAGGCCUUCGGGUUGUAAACUGCUUUUGUACGGAACGAAACGGUCCGGGUUAAUACCCUGGGCUAAUGACGGUACCGUAAGAAUAAGCACCGGCUAACUACGUGCCAGCCGCCGCCGUAAGAC